CAGAUUGUAAGGAAUCGUACCCCAAACCGACACAGGUGGUCGGGUAGAGAAUACCAAGGCGCUUGAGAGAACUCGGGUGAAGGAACUAGGCAAAAUGGUACCGUAACUUCGGGAGAAGGUACGCUCUCGACGGUGAAGUCCCUCGCGGAUGGAGCUAUUGAGAGUCGCAGAUACCAGGUGGCUGCAACUGUUUAUUAAAAACACAGCACUGUGCAAAAUCGUAAGAUGACGUAUACGGUGUGACGCCUGCCCGGUGCC
rnacentral:rRNA from 1 species